UUAAGCGACUAAGCGUACACGGUGGAUGCCCUGGCAGUCAGAGGCGAUGAAGGACGUGCUAAUCUGCGAUAAGCGUCGGUAAGGUGAUAUGAACCGUUAUAACCGGCGAUUUCCGAAUGGGGAAACCCAGUGUGAUUCGUCACACUAUCAUUAACUGAAUCCAUAGGUUAAUGAGGCGAACCGGGGGAACUGAAACAUCUAAGUACCCCGAGGAAAAGAAAUCAACCGAGAUUCCCCCAGUAGCGGCGAGCGAACGGGGAGCAGCCCAGAGCCUGAAUCAGUGUGUGUGUUAGUGGAAGCGUCUGGAAAGGCGCGCGAUACAGGGUGACAGCCCCGUACACAAAAAUGCACAUGCUGUGAGCUCGAUGAGUAGGGCGGGACACGUGGUAUCCUGUCUGAAUAUGGGGGGACCAUCCUCCAAGGCUAAAUACUCCUGACUGACCGAUAGUGAACCAGUACCGUGAGGGAAAGGCGAAAAGAACCCCGGCGAGGGGAGUGAAAAAGAACCUGAAACCGUGUACGUACAAGCAGUGGGAGCACGCUUAGGCGUGUGACUGCGUACCUUUUGUAUAAUGGGUCAGCGACUUAUAUUCUGUAGCAAGGUUAACCGAAUAGGGGAGCCGAAGGGAAACCGAGUCUUAACUGGGCGUUAAGUUGCAGGGUAUAGACCCGAAACCCGGUGAUCUAGCCAUGGGCAGGUUGAAGGUUGGGUAACACUAACUGGAGGACCGAACCGACUAAUGUUGAAAAAUUAGCGGAUGACUUGUGGCUGGGGGUGAAAGGCCAAUCAAACCGGGAGAUAGCUGGUUCUCCCCGAAAGCUAUUUAGGUAGCGCCUCGUGAAUUCAUCUCCGGGGGUAGAGCACUGUUUCGGCAAGGGGGUCAUCCCGACUUACCAACCCGAUGCAAACUGCGAAUACCGGAGAAUGUUAUCACGGGAGACACACGGCGGGUGCUAACGUCCGUCGUGAAGAGGGAAACAACCCAGACCGCCAGCUAAGGUCCCAAAGUCAUGGUUAAGUGGGAAACGAUGUGGGAAGGCCCAGACAGCCAGGAUGUUGGCUUAGAAGCAGCCAUCAUUUAAAGAAAGCGUAAUAGCUCACUGGUCGAGUCGGCCUGCGCGGAAGAUGUAACGGGGCUAAACCAUGCACCGAAGCUGCGGCAGCGACGCUUAUGCGUUGUUGGGUAGGGGAGCGUUCUGUAAGCCUGCGAAGGUGUGCUGUGAGGCAUGCUGGAGGUAUCAGAAGUGCGAAUGCUGACAUAAGUAACGAUAAAGCGGGUGAAAAGCCCGCUCGCCGGAAGACCAAGGGUUCCUGUCCAACGUUAAUCGGGGCAGGGUGAGUCGACCCCUAAGGCGAGGCCGAAAGGCGUAGUCGAUGGGAAACAGGUUAAUAUUCCUGUACUUGGUGUUACUGCGAAGGGGGGACGGAGAAGGCUAUGUUGGCCGGGCGACGGUUGUCCCGGUUUAAGCGUGUAGGCUGGUUUUCCAGGCAAAUCCGGAAAAUCAAGGCUGAGGCGUGAUGACGAGGCACUACGGUGCUGAAGCAACAAAUGCCCUGCUUCCAGGAAAAGCCUCUAAGCAUCAGGUAACAUCAAAUCGUACCCCAAACCGACACAGGUGGUCAGGUAGAGAAUACCAAGGCGCUUGAGAGAACUCGGGUGAAGGAACUAGGCAAAAUGGUGCCGUAACUUCGGGAGAAGGCACGCUGAUAUGUAGGUGAAGUCCCUCGCGGAUGGAGCUGAAAUCAGUCGAAGAUACCAGCUGGCUGCAACUGUUUAUUAAAAACACAGCACUGUGCAAACACGAAAGUGGACGUAUACGGUGUGACGCCUGCCCGGUGCCGGAAGGUUAAUUGAUGGGGUCAGCGCAAGCGAAGCUCUUGAUCGAAGCCCCGGUAAACGGCGGCCGUAACUAUAACGGUCCUAAGGUAGCGAAAUUCCUUGUCGGGUAAGUUCCGACCUGCACGAAUGGCGUAAUGAUGGCCAGGCUGUCUCCACCCGAGACUCAGUGAAAUUGAACUCGCUGUGAAGAUGCAGUGUACCCGCGGCAAGACGGAAAGACCCCGUGAACCUUUACUAUAGCUUGACACUGAACAUUGAGCCUUGAUGUGUAGGAUAGGUGGGAGGCUUUGAAGUGUGGACGCCAGUCUGCAUGGAGCCGACCUUGAAAUACCACCCUUUAAUGUUUGAUGUUCUAACGUUGACCCGUAAUCCGGGUUGCGGACAGUGUCUGGUGGGUAGUUUGACUGGGGCGGUCUCCUCCUAAAGAGUAACGGAGGAGCACGAAGGUUGGCUAAUCCUGGUCGGACAUCAGGAGGUUAGUGCAAUGGCAUAAGCCAGCUUGACUGCGAGCGUGACGGCGCGAGCAGGUGCGAAAGCAGGUCAUAGUGAUCCGGUGGUUCUGAAUGGAAGGGCCAUCGCUCAACGGAUAAAAGGUACUCCGGGGAUAACAGGCUGAUACCGCCCAAGAGUUCAUAUCGACGGCGGUGUUUGGCAC
rnacentral:rRNA from 1 species